rnacentral:rRNA from 1 species
GAUGAACGCUGGCGGCGUGCCUAAUACAUGCAAGUCGAGCGAACAGACGAGGAGCUUUCUCCUCUGACGUUAGCGGCGGACGGGUGAGUAACACGUGGAUAACCUACCUAUAAGACUGGGAUAACUUCGGGAAACCGGAGCUAAUACCGGAUAAUAUAUUCUACCGCAUGGUUCAAUAGUGAAAGACGGUUUUCCUGUCUCUUUUAGAUGGAUCCGCGCCGCAUUAGCUAGUUGGUAAGGUAACGGCUUACCAAGGCAACGAUGCGUAGCCGACCUGAGAGGGUGAUCGGCCACACUGGAACUGAGACACGGUCCAGACUCCUACGGGAGGCAGCAGUAGGGAAUCUUCCGCAAUGGGCGAAAGCUUGACGGAGCAACGCCGCGUGAGUGAAGAAGGUCUUCGGGUCGUAAAACUCUGUUAUUAGGGAAGAAAAAAUGUGUAAGUAAAUAUGCACGUCUUGACGGUACCUAAUCAGAAAGCAACGGCUAACUACGUG